GAUGAACGCUGGCGGCGUGCCUAAUACAUGCCAGUCGAGCGAACAGAUGAGGAGCUUGCUCCUCUGACGUUAGCGGCGGACGGGUGAGUAACACGUGGAUAACCUACCUAUAAGACUUGGAUAACUUCGGGAAACCGGAGCUAAUACCGGAUAAUAUAUUGAACCGCAUGGUUCAAUAGUGAAAGACGGUUUUGCUGUCACUUAUAGAUGGAUCCGCGCCGCAUUAGCUAGUUGGUAAGGUAACGGCUUACCAAGGCAACGAUGCGUAGCCGACCUGAGAGGGUGAUCGGCCACACUGGAACUGAGACACGGUCCAGACUCCUACGGGAGGCAGCAGUAGGGAAUCUUCCGCAAUGGGCGAAAGCCUGACGGAGCAACGCCGCGUGAGUGAUGAAGGUCUUCGGAUCGUAAAACUCUGUUAUUAGGGAAGAACAAAUGUGUAAGUAACUAUGCACGUCUUGACGGUACCUAAUCAGAAAGCCACGGCUAACUACGUG
rnacentral:rRNA from 1 species